AAUAGAUACCCCGGUAGUCCACGCCGUAAACGAUGGAUGCUGGCUGUUAUGCGUAUCGACCCGUGUAGUAGCGAAGCUAACGCGUUAAGCAUCCCGCCUGGGGAGUACGAACGCAAGUUUAAAACUCAAAGGAAUUGACGGGGACCCGCACAAGCGGUGGAGCGUGUUCUUUAAUUCGAGGCUAAGCGAAGAACCUUACCAGGGCUUGACAUCCUUGGAAUUUCUCCGAAAGGAGAGAGUACUUUAUUGGACCAAGUGACAGGUGCUGCAUGGCCGUCGUCAGCUCGUGUCGUGAGAUGUUGGGUUAAGUCCCGCAACGAGCGCAACCCCCGUGGCUAGUUGCCGAUGUUUCUAGCCAGACUGCCGGUAGCAAGCCGGAGGAAGGUGGGGAUGAUGUCAAGUCAGCAUGGCCCUUACGUCCUGGGCUACACGCACGCUACAAUGGCCGGGACAAUGGGCUGCCAAACCGCAAGGUGGAGCGAAUCCCACAAACCCGGUCUCAGUUCAGAUCGCGGGCUGCAACUCGCCCGCGUGAA
rnacentral:rRNA from 1 species